rfam:Alligator sinensis unplaced genomic scaffold scaffold860_1, whole genome shotgun sequence
GGGCCAGCGGUGCAAUGGAUAACGUGUCUGACUACAGAUCAGAACAUUGUAGGUUUGACUCCUGCCUGGCUCA